UUCUAGCCCAGAUCGCAGUGGAAAGCUUUUUGAAAUCGUUUCUCAUUUUUUCUUGCACGAAAAGAGCGACCGAAGGAAGCUCCUUUUCUUGUUUAGAAAAAAGGGAACAAGAUGAAAAAACUUGCAACGAAUAGCUGGAUUGGCU
rnacentral:sRNA from 1 species